GUGCCAGCAGCCGCGGUAAUACGUAGGUGGCAAGCGUUGUCCGGAUUUACUGGGCGUAAAGGAUGUGUAGGUGGAUGCUUAAGUCAGAUGUGAAAGCCCCGAGCUUAACUUGGGGACUGCAUUUGAAACUGGGCAUCUAGAGUGCAGGAGAGGAAAGUGGAAUUCCUAGUGUAGCGGUGAAAUGCGUAGAGAUUAGGAAGAACAUCAGUGGCGAAGGCGACUUUCUGGACUGUAACUGACACUGAGGCAUGAAAGCGUGGGGAGCAAACAGGAUUAGAUACCCUGGUAGUCCACGCCGUAAACGAUGAGUACUAGGUGUAGGGGGUAUCGACUCCCUCUGUGCCGCAGUUAACACAAUAAGUACUCCGCCUGGGAAGUACGGUCGCAAGAUUAAA
rnacentral:rRNA from 1 species